GGUAACGGCUCACCAAGGCGACGAUCCGUAACUGGUCUGAGAGGAUGAUCAGUCACACUGGAACUGAGACACGGUCCAGACUCCUACGGGAGGCAGCAGUGGGGAAUAUUGGACAAUGGGCGAAAGCCUGAUCCAGCCAUGCCGCGUGUGUGAAGAAGGUCUUCGGAUUGUAAAGCACUUUAAGUUGGGAGGAAGGGCAUUAACCUAAUACGUUAGUGUUUUGACGUUACCGACAGAAUAAGCACCGGCUAACUUCGUGCCAGCAGCCGCGGUAAUACGAAGGGUGCAAGCGUUAAUCGGAAUUACUGGGCGUAAAGCGCGCGUACGUGGUUUGUUAAGUUGAAUGUG
rnacentral:rRNA from 1 species